rnacentral:rRNA from 1 species
AUUGAACGCUGGCGGCAUGCCUUACACAUGCAAGUCGAACGGCAGCACGGGUGCUUGCACCUGGUGGCGAGUGGCGCACGGGUGAGUAAUACAUCGGAACAUGUCCUGUAGUGGGGGAUAGCCCGGCGAAAGCCGGAUUACUACCGCAUACGAUCUACGGAUGAAAGCGGGGGACCUUCGGGCCUCGCGCUAUCGGGUUGGCCGAUGGCUGAUUAGCUAGUUGGUGGGGUAAAGGCCUACCAAGGCGACGAUCAGUAGCUGGUCUGAGAGGACGACCAGCCACACGGGGACUGAGACACGGCCCAGACUCCUACGGGAGGCAGCAGUGGGGAAUUUUGGACAAUGGGCGAAAGCCUGAUCCAGCAAUGCCGCGUGUGUGAAGAAGGCCUUCGGGUUGUAAAGCACUUUUGUCCGGAAAGAAAUCCUUGGCCCUAAUACGGUCGGGGGAUGACGGUACCGGAAGAAUAAGCACCGGCUAACUACGUG